AUGUGCAUUUUGUUUUGGGCUUUUAUUGGGUCAACUACAAUGGCGGCAAGGAAGACAGUUUUUGUUGGAAAUUUGUUUGAUGGAGCUAACAAGAAGAACAAGAACAAUAGUAGUGUGGCAGUACUUGAUGAUCCUGUUCAUAGAUGCAAAAACCACAAGAAAGUACACGUGUCUUCUUGCUACAAUGACACGUCAUCAUCAGAAGACAAAAGGGUUGUUCCUACAGGUCCAAAUCCAUUACACAACAGGUAG